UACGUAGGGGGCAAGCGUUGUCCGGAAUCAUUGGGCGUAAAGAGCGUGUAGGCGGCCAGAUAAGUCCGCUGUGAAAUCUCGAGGCUCAACCCCCGAGCCUGCAGUGGAUACGGGCAGACUAGAGGUAGGUAGGGGAGAAUGGAAUUCCCGGUGUAGCGGUGAAAUGCGCAGAUAUCGGGAGGAACGACCGGGUGGCGAAGGCGGUUCUCUGGGCCUUACCUGACGCUGAGGAGCGAAAGCGUGGGGAGCGAACAGG
rnacentral:rRNA from 1 species